GACAGAGGGUGCAAACGUUGUUCGGAAUUACUGGGCGUAAAGCGUGUGUAGGCGGUCCCGUAAGUCGGAUGUGAAAGCUCUGGGCUCAACCCAGGAAGUGCACCCGAAACUACGGGGCUAGAGUAUCGGAGAGGUUGGUGGAAUUCUCGGUGUAGAGGUGAAAUUCGUAGAUAUCGAGAGGAACACCAGUGGCGAAGGCGGCUCACUGGCCCGUUACCGACGCUCAGGCGCGACAGCGUGGGGAGCAAACAGG
rnacentral:rRNA from 1 species